rnacentral:rRNA from 1 species
UACGUAGGGUGCAAGCGUUGUCCGGAAUUAUUGGGCGUAAAGAGCGUGUAGGCGGCCCGAUUAGUCCGCUGUGAAAGUCCAGGGCUCAACCCUGGAAUGCCGGUGGAUACUGUCGGGCUAGAGUCCGGAAGGGGCGAGUGGAAUUCCUGGUGUAGCGGUGAAAUGCGCAGAUAUCAGGAGGAACACCAAUGGCGAAGGCAGCGCGCUGGGACGGGACUGACGCUGAGACGCGAAAGCGUGGGGAGCAAACAGG